rnacentral:lncRNA from 1 species
AAAGACCUGGUACUUAAGUUGUUCAUUGUGACACGCCUUUCUUUCCUAGAAGUCUACUCGAUGUGUUUUUAACUAAAUUCUUAUUAAACAGAAUAUAUUAUGCUAAUUAAUUUUAUUUUGUAAAAUACUCAAUAGAUAUGAAAUCUGUGUUGAAUGUAUUAUAUUAUGUUGGAUGUGAAAUUAUGUAUAUUGAACAUAGUAAGAGUUUGGUGAAGAGAUUUUGUAGUGACAUGGUAUAAGUUGAUGAAUAUGAAUAUGAUGUGAGUCUCGUGGAGAGAUUCUAUAGUGACAUGGUAUUAGUGUACACAUUGAUGUUGACGGUCCUAAUGGGAAGGUCAUCCUGAUAUUCUAAUAACUCUCCAGUCUCAAGUUGAGAAGGAUGAGUUAUGUGGUGAGAGGGACAGUAGGUCCUAGUCUAUGUGCCAGUUUUGGACAUAGGUGUUAAUGGGCUAACCUUGUGGUGACAGGUUGGAUUGUAUUUGGCCAUGAUUUUUGUUGUAUGGGGUGAGGAGGUCACCGCAAGUGCACGACCACCUGAGACUUCCAUCAAUGUUAUAUCCGGAUAAUAGAGUCUAGUAUAAACAUUGGUGUCUGAUAUGAAUUUUUAUUGCAAAUGAAGUAUGUGUAAUAAAAAUGUUAUAUUUUAUUCUCUUUCAUGGCAGCUCACCC